GCACUCUUGUUUCUCUUCAGAUUGUAUAAAUCUUUCGGCUUUUACUAACGAUUUCCGUGGGGAGGAACAACAAGAGUUUGAUUCAAUUUUUUGAUGCCCUGCAGUAGUAGGGCC
rnacentral:snRNA from 1 species